GAUGAACGCUAGCGAUAGGCUUAACACAUGCAAGUCGAGGGGCAGCAUGGUCUUAGCUUGCUAAGACUGAUGGCGACCGGCGCACGGGUGCGUAACGCGUAUGCAACUUGCCUCACAGAGGGGGAUAACCCGUCGAAAGACGGACUAAUACCGCGUACACUCCAUCUUGGGCAUCCAAGGUAGAGGAAAUGAAAUUCGCUGUGAGAUAGGCAUGCGUCCCAUUAGCUAGUUGGUGAGGUAACGGCUCACCAAGGCGACGAUGGGUAGGGGAACUGAGAGGUUGAACCCCCACACUGGUACUGAGACACGGACCAGACUCCUACGGGAGGCAGCAGUGAGGAAUAUUGGUCAAUGGGCGAGAGCCUGAACCAGCCAAGUCGCGUGAAGGAUGACUGUCUUAUGGAUUGUAAACUUCUUUUAGACGGGAAUAACAAGAGUCACGUGUGACUCCCUGCAUGUACCGGAUGAAUAAGCAUCGGCUAACUCCGUG
rnacentral:rRNA from 1 species